CAAGCACUACGUCUACUAAAAAAAUCCUUUCAGUGGUCAUAUCCUGUGAAAGCAGACUAACAGUAAGACUCUCUGAAAAAUUACAUUGUUCAUCCCAGAUAUGGCAGCUGGACAUAUGUUUUUGGUCUUCCUCAUUUUCUAUACCUUCCAAUAUGUCAAAGCCCAAGAUCGUCCUAAGCCCAGUCUGACUCUGAAUCAUGCAGUCAUCAGAGAGAGAGACUCAGUUCAGCUGAUCUGUGAGACUCCAUCUGUAUCUGAGUCUCAGUGUCACUUCAUCAUAGAGGGGAAACAGAUCUCACAUCCUUCACCAUGUCAGAGCACACUAACAGGAUAUCAGCUGCUUCACUGGGCAGGUCAAAGUUCACCUGUUGAGGUCAAAAUUCUAUGUUUCUACAUGGUAGAGACAAACUAUUCAUCAACACACAGUGACCCUGUCUCAUUGAGGAUUCUGGAUCAACGAAACCUCCCUCAGCCCAAUCUGAUAGUGAUUCCCACAGUUAUCAGAGAGGGAGACUCAGUUCAGCUGAGCUGUGUGACUCCUCAAUCUCUCUCUGAAUGUCAGUGUGGUUUCUAUGAAGACACGAAACUUCAUCUACCAGAACGAUCCUGUGAACAGACGGUCACAGGAACUCAGCUGCUUUCUUGGGCAGGCCAAAAAUCGUCAGCUGUGCUCCAGGUGCAGUGUUUCUACGUUGUAGAAAGAUAUUACCCAUCUCCUUCCAGUAAACCAGUCAUUGUCACAGUCCAGGGUUCAACCACUUCUUUGACCUCCAUGGCAACAUCAUCAGGUUUGACCACUCCUUUGACUCCCAGCAAGGCAGUGAAUCCUACAUCAGGUUCAACCACUUCUUUGACCCCGACAGCAAUGACAUCAGGUUUGACCACUCCUUUGACUCCCAGCAAGGCAGUGAAUCCUACAUCAGUGAAACCAUCAUGGCUUGCAGCAAUAGUUGUGGGUAUUUCACUGGCCAUGUUCCUGGUGGUGGGAUUAACAGCUGUCUGUCUGUAUAAGAAGACACAUAGAAGCAAAUCUCAGAGACCUCAAGCCAAACAGGACAAACAUAACCAACAAUUAGUGAUGACAACCGAAAGCAGUGGAACUAUGGUGCAUUCAGGGGAUAAGGGACCUUAUACUCUCAUCCCCACGGUGCUGACCACGUUCAUGCCCUCAGGUCCUGUUGGAGAGAAUGGAGAAUCAUCUGAAUAUGUCAAUUUUGAUACAUACCAGGAGUACUAUUCAAUCCAGCCUCAGCCCAAUGGCUUUCUGUAGAUAGUCUUCAAAGGUUUUAGUAUAGUUAAAUGUUCUAUUAUUAUUCUUUAUUCAAUCUCUUUGGAUUUGAAAUUGUCCACUUAUGUGCGAAAGUAUUAUCCAUAUUGGAUGAACAAUUUUAAAAUGACAAUGUUUUGUACAUAUUUCCUCCAUUAGGGUGCCAUAUGUAUUUCAACUGUUAUCUUCAAAACUGUUUCUUAUUAGAUUGUUUUUGAUUGCUUGUAUUAAAAGUGCAUAUCCAGCAG
rnacentral:lncRNA from 1 species